GAUGAACGCUGGCGGCGUGCCUAAUACAUGCAAGUCGAGCGAACGGACGAGAAGCUUGCUUCUCUGAUGUUAGCGGCGGACGGGUGAGUGACACGUGGUUAACCUACCUAUAAGACUGGGAUAACUUCGGGAAACCGGAGCUAAUACCGGAUAAUAUUUUGAACCGCAUGGUUCAAAAGUGAAAGACGGUCUUGCUGUCACUUAUAGAUGGAUCCGCGCUGCAUUAGCUAGUUGGUAAGGUAACGGCUUACCAAGGCAACGAUGCAUAGCCGACCUGAGAGGGUGAUCGGCCACACUGGAACUGAGACACGGUCCAGACUCCUACGGGAGGCAGCAGUAGGGAAUCUUCCGCAAUGGGCGAAAGCCUGACGGAGCAACGCCGCGUGAGUGAUGAAGGUCUUCGGAUCGUAAAACUCUGUUAUUAGGGAAGAACAUAUGUGUAAGUAACUGUGCACAUCUUGACGGUACCUAAUCAGAAAGCCACGGCUAACUACGUG
rnacentral:rRNA from 1 species